UUGCAUAUAUUUUGUUGUUUAGUAUAUUAAUUUUAUAUUUUGCUCUACAUUUGCCCUGAACAGGCAACCGAUCCAACCAACUUAACACGUUCACUGUCCGUGCCCCGUAUAUGGGUCACGGCAAGCCUCUAUUACAAAGCCGUAAGGUUAACAAUUCAGAUUGGGACAGUGAACGUGUUAAAGCGCAGUUAUAUGUACUGCGUCGAUUCUUGGUCGUUCGCCGCAUCAAACAAUGUCAAGGCCUGUCUCCAUAUUGCGCGGCAAACUAUCGAACAUUGGCUCGCGAGCCAACCCGGUAUCCAUUGCGCGCGGCUGCCUCGCGAGCCAAUGUUAGAUAGUUUGCCGCGCAAUAUGGAGACAGGUCUUCAGAUGACUUUCAACUUCAUACUUCAUUCGGCGACCGCAUUAAUUAAGUGAACGACCCAAUGAUUUUUGAUACCCUUAAUUUAUCCGCCUAUAAUAUAUAUGUCGCAGUCAAAAGUGUGAACUGGUCAAAAGAACUUUUAACCGACAAAAACAGGCAAAACUGCUUUUGACUGAGCAUGUUGGUCAAAAGUAGUUUUACCUGAAAAUCAUUGGUUAAUAGUAAUUGUGACUGUUACUAUCAGUCAAAAGUACUCGCAGUAGCAGCAGCAGGUAGGUUAGGGUUAUUUUUCUUUGCUACGCCCAAAAAACGAAACUGUUCGCAGAGAUAGGUAGGUUAGGGUUAUUUUUUUUUGCUACGCCCUAAAAACGAAACUGCUGCCAGAAAUAGGUAUGAUUUUCAGGUAAAACUACUUUUGACCAACAUGCUCAGUCAAAAGCAGUUUUGCCUGUUUUUGUCGGUUAAAAGUUCUUUUGACCAGUUCACACUUUUGACUGCAACAUAUACAUGUCAUUGAUUAUGGUUGGUAGUCACUGACAACUUAUAAAUCGUGUUUUUAAUUUAGCUGCAUCCGUGUUUCGGAGGGCCUACCGCGGAAAUCGGAAAUCGAAAUUUCGUUUCAUUCCGUAGAAUAUUGCAAGUUUUCUAUGUUCGUAGUAUAAUCAGCGUGACGUAAGAAUAUACCUAUAUAUUUGACAGUUAUGAAACACCCCUGGUCCCAUAGUAAAAGUUGCUCAGUAUUAUCCCAAAACCUCCGUGGCAACGGCAAUACAGUUAUUUUUUGCCAACGUAUAUAUCUGACGCUUAGUCUAUCUGUUAAACGGUAGAUGUGUCUCUUUACGGUGGUUAUGCGAAUGUAGCCAUUCGCUAUGGUCUAUUUCGAAUUUGCAGUUAGUUAAGCCAAAACCCACUUCUAUACUGAUUCUACUCCAUCCAGUAAGGAUAGCUAUAAAGUCAAUUUGUGAAUGAUAAUCGCCUUUCAAAAUAGAUUAGGACUAAACGGCAACCAUAAGUUUUCUUAACAUAUUCACUUGCUUGUAAGUAACUUACCGCCUAAUGGUCAAAUGUCCAAUAAUUGGCACAUAUAUUUUUGUCAUUAGCACCCAGUUUUGCAGUUUAUCGACCCUUUUGUAUUUAUGUAAGGUUAAACUCAUUGUGUUUGGUGUUAAACCAUACAUUUUACAUUUCAUUCAGAAAAUAAUCGUUAUUUGUUCCGUGACGAUGUAAGCUAAUAUAACUACCUUCCAAUAGAUUGGUAUAACAGACAGUAGUCAGGUUUGAUAGACCCCUAUUUGCUCUCUGAUUAUAUGUAAUUAAGAAUGAUAUUUUAAAGAGUUUUAUUGUAAAAUGUACAGACAACUAAUUUAAUUUACUACCAAUUUUGUACUUUGUCACAGUGACAAUAGAAUGAGGUCUCUAGCGACUUUCAUAUUGAUAGUCACUAUCAUAGUGACUAUCAAUUUCAUAAUGUCAUAAUGACAAGAUACGAAAUGGGUCAAAAAUUAAUAUCUUUGUUUGUACUACUCGAACCUUGAAGGCUUAAUUGGAAAAGAAUCUCAAAGUGUAAUGUCAGUAAUGUGUUGCUUAAGUAUUGUCUAGAUAUGUUUGACUAAAAUGGUUGAAUUUGUUUACAAUUAGGUAUAUUAUUUGUAUGCUCUAGUAAAUAUUUCGACCCAAUGCCCCUUUUAAUCAGAGUUGGAUGAAUGUUAGAUUUAUAAGGUUAAGUAUUUCUUGCGUUCAUAUCAUUUCGUCAACAUAUCUUGAUUGUACAAUGUGUUAAGUAGUUAAAAUCAAAGCAGUAGACACUUUCAGAACUAUUUACAUAUUAUUGAUGACAAAUAUGAAAAUGACUUUCAACAAUAAUCAUUCCUUUUGUGAGAUGGGCGUUAUGCAAAAUUAGGCCCAUUCUAUUUUUAGAACAAAUGAAAAAAACCCAGUGUCCUAAAAAUAUCCAUUAUAUUUUAAAUUUUGUGACUACACGCUUGAUUUUUUGUAAGUUAUACUAUCAAAAGCCGUUUUGAACUUUUGACUAGGUAUUAUGUUCUAAAAUAAGCAUUUGUCCUGACAAAAAUAACUCAAGACCACCGAAACUCAUCUAAUUCUGACUUUUGGAGCAUUCCAUGAAAUUGUCUACCGUUGUCCCGUACAAACGCGAAGUUUCUGAAGAUUUAAAGGUAUAAGAGUUUCCUUUUCUAUGACAAAUGGUCAAAAAUAUGCACAGAAAAAUAAUCGCCUGCUUUAAAUGCCUAGAAAAAAGUCACAACACGGGAAAUAAAAUGCGUUUGUAUGGGACAGCCCGUGGAAUGCUCCUUUUUCGUUUAAUCUUAAAAGUGAGCCAAGUGUAACAUUUUUUAAAGUCACGACACUGACUCUACUUGUAUAAACCCUAAGAUAUCCUAAGGUCCAGUAUUUUAGCUCUAGCCAGAGUCAUAUUAACGUAAAGUUAAAAUAGAAUAGACAGAGUAACAAUUCACAUUAUCAUUAUCACAAAUCAUUUACUAUAAUCCCAUAUCCACGAAUAAGACUUUAACAUUGCUAUUAAACUGGUGCAGAAUUUUAUAAAAUGAUUGUAUGAUUGAAAUUAUUUGAGAUGAACGAAAUAUAGUUUGUACGCAACAUUGACUCUUUUUGUAGUGACAAUAAAGUCGAGAUUUGAAUGGAUUAUUUUGUCCCAAGUUCAUGCCAAAUAAUUUCAACGAAUACUUCAGAAAAUUUAUGUAUCUAUAUUUCUUUAGUACGGUAAUGUUUAUCGUCGAUGGAAAGCGUCCGUCUCUUUCUAGAUUUCAAGAAAAUUAUUAAGUGUGAGAGGGACGUAUGCUUUUCGUCGUUGAUAUGGUAUCUUGUAAAUUGUCUAGUUUCGCUAAGAUAGUGCUGUAACGUGUAUUGUGAUUGAUGCCAAUUGGUUUUAUAUUGUACUGUGAUGGUAUGCCUACUAAUUUAUUUUUUGUUGAGUUUUCUAAUUUUUUUUCUGUUUAUCGAAGUAAUCUCGAAUAUUGAAUCUAAUGUAUUAGAAGUAGAGGAUUUAAGGUUGGUGAUUUCUAUUUGGUUUGCGCAAAAUAAAGGCUCCGCCAGACUUAGCGAGUGAGCAGAUGGAGGCGGUUGGAACGUGGGUUCGUGCGUAUUGACAAUUGCAUGACUGUGGGCCACAUGAGUUCGAAGUUCACUUUUAGCACCUAGAGCGGUCGUGGCGCGGUUUGCGCGCGGGCGUGUAGCGGUUACGCGUUUGAUUUAUGUUAUAUUGCUCGUGCUUUCCAUAGCUUAGUUUACAACCCACGAGCCCACGUUUUAAUUCACCUAGAGUCGGACCAAGCUAAUUCUACACAGACUUUGCAGUGGCAGAAUGUGGAGUGUCAAAUCCCUGUGAAAAUAUGACGAUUAUAGUCACUUUAAUGUCGAUGCAGAGUUGGCUUAGACGGACUUAUCAUGCUCACAUUACGCUUUAGGUCUGGCGUAGGUUCAGAGCUAGUUUACACUGUCCUUUUUCCGAGGAUAUUGUGGCAAUUGGCUCAGUGUAAACACGCUUUUGUAGCUACUGCUACCCCAUUGGGUAAAGGCCCCUGUACACAAUGGGCCAGUCUGGGGGACGCAUUUAUGCGUUAGAGGGAGCAAGUGAUAUUGCUAUCUCAUUCUACCGCAUGGCUGCGUCUCUUGGAGAAGCCGACGCUGGCUCAUUGUGUACAGGGGCCUUUAAACUGUUAUUUCACAUUAUAUAUUACGAAACGUCGGAGCUCAUUUAGAGUAGAUAGUUUAGAUCACGAUGUUUCGAAUAUUUUGCGCAGUCCGAUGUUUUAUGUAAAGGAUAAUCACUUUUAUUUAGAUGUAAGCAAACAAUAUUUGUCAAAGAGAGAUUUAUAAAGAGUAUAGGCCGUAA